UUGACCUCAAAUCAGGUGGGACUACCCGCUGAA
rnacentral:rRNA from 1 species